CAUGACACAUACGACCCUCCACAUACACCAGCCAGAGUAAGGUGCGAAACCCCAGUAAAAGGCAGUUUUGACCCCCACAUUUACAUAGAUGCCAUUGGGGUGCCUAGGGGGGUACCCAAUGAAUUUAAAGCUAGAGAUGAAGUAGCUGUAGGUUUUGAAUCACUUUUUACCAUAGUCACUGCCAACAAAAACCUUAAUUGGAUUAAUUAUAUCUAUUACAACCAACAGCGCUUCGUGAACUACACCAGGGAUGCCCUCCAGGG